ACGGAAGGCAGCAGUGGGGAAUAUUGCACAAUGGGCGAAAGCCUGAUGCAGCGACGCCGCGUGAGCGAAGAAGUAUUUCGGUAUGUAAAGCUCUAUCAGCAGGGAAGAAAAAAUGACGGUACCUGACUAAGAAGCCCCGGCUAACUACGUGCCAGCAGCCGCGGUAAUACGUAGGGGGCAAGCGUUAUCCGGAUUUACUGGGUGUAAAGGGAGCGCAGGCGGCAGGGCAAGUCUGAUGUGAAAGCCCGGGGCUCAACCCCGGGACUGCAUUGGAAACUGCUCAGCUAGAGUGUCGGAGGGGUAAGUGGAAUUCCUAGUGUAGCGGUGAAAUGCGUAGAUAUUAGGAGGAACACCAGUGGCGAAGGCGGCUUACUGGACGACAACUGACGCUGAGGCUCGAAAGCGUGGGGAGCAAACAGGAUUAGAUACCCUGGUA
rnacentral:rRNA from 1 species